UAAAAGGAAAAGAUGAAAUGAUAUUGAUCUCUGUUUUGUGCUUGUUCUGAAAGGUUUUCAGAGCCGUGUAUCUACCGUGCGGCUGGAACCCAGGAGAGAGAUCGCCAAGGCUGCAUUCCAGAAGGACCACUCUCAGCAGCGAGAAGUGGGUGUGGAUGGGGCAAAGCUAGAAAUCGAACACCAGUUACCCAGUCACAUGCUGGACCAGCAGUCAAGGCAAGAGACUAGCUCGUCUGUGGCCCCAAAGAUGAAGUCCCAGAAAUGGAAAUGUGAACACUGCCUUCAGGAGCUGGUCCAUGAGCCUCUUCAAUCACUGGGCUGGCAUCUUCC
rnacentral:lncRNA from 1 species